rnacentral:rRNA from 1 species
UACGUAGGGUGCAGGCGUUAAUCGGAAUUACUGGGCGUAAAGCGUGCGCAGGCGGUCUGUUAAGAGAGAUGUGAAAUCCCCCGGCUUAACCUGGGAACUGCGUCUGAUACUGGGAGGCUUGAGUAUGGGAGAGGGAUGUAGAAUUCCAGGUGUAGCGGUGAAAUGCGUAGAUAUCUGGAGGAAUACCGGUGGCGAAGGCGGCAUCCUGGACCAUAACUGACGCUGAGGCGCGAAAGCUAGGGGAGCAAACGGG